CGCGUCUGGGUCGUCCUGAGGAGACACUCUCCAGGGUCCGCGCCGGAGAGGCAGGGACGAGCGCAGGCCAGGCGGUGCCGGUGCGUCCCGGGGCAGCGUGUUUCCGAGAGGCCGUUAGCAAGGAUCCGAGUCAGCAGGAUGCUCCGCGUGGGCUUUACAGUCCAGUUCAGGUUCCUUUGAAAAAGAUGCGUCUCCCCAUCCUUCAAGGUCCCAGGAGUCCCAUCAGGUUGAUGUCCCAGGAGACACACGACCCAGCUGCCUGCAGAAGCUCAGCAAUCCCUAAGGACUUGUUGGAAAUGGUUACCAUGAGACUUUCCUUCUUCACACACAACAAAGAAAAAAAAAUUAGAGUGGGGUAAUGGUGACCACUAUUACUUAGUAACAAAAUAAAGCAACCUUUAGUACUUUGUUUUAAAAAAUUUAUUUUAAAUGAAAAUAACCAAAGCAUAUUUGUUAAAUAUGAGGAAUGAGUAAUGUAGACACCCAGAGUUCUCAAGAAAGGAAAGGGGAAAUGUCCACAAAUUUUGCCUAAUGGUAAACAUCACCCAAAAUGCUUGUGAAAAAGGCACAUUCUCAUGUCCCACUCAGAAAAUGGGGAGAUUCUGCCAAAAGGACUAAGGGUCCAUAAUAUUAUAAAGGUACCACUGCUGUGAUUCCUAUGGUCAGGCAAGUGUGGGUAAAGCUGCCUUAGGCAGCGGUUCUCAGUGAAGCCACUGGAGGUGGUCAGUCAUAGCUGAAGGGCUCCUUAAAACUGGGUCCCUCUUUUAACACAGUUUCUUAUUCAGGCAUUUGGAGAGUGGCUGGAGGGUUUGCAUUUCUAGCAAGUCCCCAGGUGGUGCAAGAGCCACACAUUGAGAACCUCUGGUUUUUAGAGCAUAUUGUGAUGUCUGCUGUUGUGAUCUGCAAGCCUCAGGUGGCCUUGUGCCUAGGAGGCAUGUGACGCCUCCCGGGUCCUGCUGCUGUCUGUCCCAGAUCCUUCAGAACCUUCCUUAAGAAAAGAUUGCAGUGCUGUUUAUAGGACCGAUCCCAGCCUGGGACCUGAAAUCAGGAUGUCCUAUAGGAUAAAGAUACCCCCAGGAAAAGUGCCAGCUCUUGCCUGAACCCUGGAACACCCCCCAAAAGAUGGGUAUUUAAAGGACAAGGUCUAGCUGACCAUCACUCUUGGUUGCAGACAGAGGGGGAGGAGGGAGGCCACAGUCCCAAAAGACCUGGAGGGCCUCAGAAGCUCUUAGAUUCAGAGUCUAGAGAAGCCUAGAUUGCAGGCAGCAUCACCCACACUUCUUUUUUUUUUUUCCAGAAUGGGGUUGAGAGGAGUAUGAGAAAUAUAUUUCCUGGUCUGAAUAAGAUUUUUUUCCACAGAGGAGGUAGUUAGAAAAGAAGAUACAAAAUGGGCAUUUCUUUUUGGAUAUGUCUCCUUAAAGGAAGUCAGCAGAUCUUGCACAGGUAAGAGGUGUGUGUGUGUGUGUGUGUGUGUGUGUGUGUGCGCGCGUGCGCGCGCGCACGUGCGUGUACAUAGGCAGGAAGUGUGGUAUGUGCUUUCUCAUGUAUGAGGAUGGCACAGUGAUGUCAACCUUACUGGCCAAGCCAGACUCUAGCAGCCUUUGGCUACAUCUUUCUUCUAAGCCUUCUCUUUCAUCCACAAUUAAGUUUCCCAUAGAUGUCUUGUUCUGAUUUAGAUUGCUUUUAUCUGAGAACUUCUCUAUCCUCGCCACUACCCACAGGUGCAGGAACCUCACCCUCUCUCCAGGUUGCUACUGUGCACCCUGCCCUGGCGGAGCACAAGUUUUAAUCCUCAAAUAAUACUGUAAGUGGUGUUCAAACAAAAAUCAGAAGGCCUGUGGCGUAUUUAAG
rnacentral:lncRNA from 1 species